UCAUAUUUUCGGGCGCAGGGAGUUCGAUAAUACAAAUUCCGGUCGCGAGGUUAAAAAUAUCUAGCUAAGAAUUGUUCCCAUUAAGAAUCGAACUCGAAUUCUACCAAACAAUCAACCCUAAAAAAUGCCUGUUGGGCUAACCAAUGCCACACGAUAACUACUCACACAAUUUUUCUCCUUCACUAGUCACUACAUAUAUUUUUAUAAUAAAAAAAAAUGAAAAAUCUGGUGUGGCUUUAGCCACACACAGCCUCUUAGUGUGUCCGUCCCUGC
rnacentral:lncRNA from 1 species